CCUCCAACGCCUCCCUCAUUUAAAUGGGCGAAAUUCAUCCCCCCAUCAACCCACCGCCUCCUUCACUCCACUGAAACCCUAGGUCGUGGAGCAACUCCUCCCUCCACGAUUUGAUUUCAGCCACCAUCAACCUCAUAUAUCACCGACCGAAAACCCUAAUUUUGUCGCCCCUUCGCCUCCGUCCAAUAUUCGCACAGAAACCCUAAUUUUGUGGGAUGGCUGGAGAUCCCGACUCCUGGCCUUGUUUGUCGUCCGACGAUCUGGACGACCUCGUCGUCCCAGAUACGCCAGAGCAUCUAUGGUCAUCAUACCCCCCAUCGUCGCCCCCUAUUAUGUCGGAACCUUUACCGACACCAUUGUCCCCGAAACGGAACCUGAAAACCUCCCCCCAUCUGAGAUGUUUGAGUACUUUGGCUCUGAAAGCCCACACUACGGUCCACAACCACCAUCAGCCACCCCCUACUAUGGUCCACCACCCCCAGCCACCCCUACUACGGUCCACCACCCCCAGCCACCCCCUACUACGGUCCACCACCACCAUCCAACUCUGUCAACUUACCUCAAGCUUCCCCCAUCGUGUAUUCGGCUGUCGAGAGGGAAAUGUUUGCGAUCUUGCUGCUUGGGUUUUUGGAUCUAAUCUAAGUACUCCACUCUAAAUUUGGAGUUUUGCUUCUGCCCAUAUUCUCAGGGCUGUCUUCCUGCAUACUCCAAACUCUGUUGCUGCCUUUUGAAUAGCUCCAUAUGGCACUUCUCCUGCCUGGCUCGAUUGCUGCCUUUUGAAUAGCUCCAUAUGGCACUUCUCCUGCCUGGCUCGAUUGCAGCAGACUUUGAGCUAGCAGAUUUUUUAUGGUGCUUGGUAUUAUGCGUGAGUCUCUUCGAGCAGGCUCCUCCUCCAUAGCCCAGUGAUGAAAUUUUUCUGAGGGCACUAGUUCUAAAAAUCUCAUGUUGUAGUUAGAGCUAGCCCUUUUAUAGAUAGGUUUAGCUUGAAUUUCCCUCCAUUGUUGUGUGUAUGAAAUGGAGUUCCUUCCAUUAGUUUCAAUUGAUUUCCCUCCUAAGUGUAGUAGGUAGUUGGGGAAUUCCCUCUCAAAAUGUAUGGCUUAGGGUGAUAGCCCCUAAAUUUGGAAAUGCAGAGGCAGUUUUUAUGUUAUGUACUCA